GGGUUCCGUAGCCAAAUGGCAAAAAACGGAACCCUUAUAGAUUCGUCAUGUCUGUCUGUCUGUCCAUCCGUAUGUCACAGCCACUUUUCUCCAAAACUAUAAGAACUAUACUGUUGAAACUUGGUAAGUAGAUGUAUUCUGUGAACCGCAUUAAGAUUUUCACACAAAAAUAGAAAAAAAACAAUAAAUUUUUGGGGUUCCCCAUACUUCCAACUGAAACUCAAAAAUUUUUUUUUCAUCAAACCCAUACGUGUGGGGUAUCUAUGGAUAGGUCUUCAAAAAUGAUAUUGAGGUUUCUAAUAUCAUUUUUUAGGGUUCCAUUGUUUCUAAACUGAAUAGUUUGCGCGAGAGACACUUCCAAAGUGGUAAAAUGUGUGUCCCCCCCCCUGUAACUUCUAAAAUAAGAGAAUGGUAAAACAAAAAAAAAAUAUAUGAUGUACAUUACCAUGUAAACUUCCACCGAAAAUUGGUUUGAACGAGAUCUAGUAAGUAGUUUUUUUUUUACGUCAUAAA